UAGCAGAGCAGAGCAGAGCAGAGCAGAGGGAGCUGUCUCAGUUGAUCUACAGCAACCCUUUAAGGAAUGCAAUUAUCCAUCUCCUGAAAAAGAAAAGAAAACAUAACUGUUAUAAACCGUUCACCUAAGAAAGUUUGGCUACCCUUUUAUGUCUCAUCAGUUUUGAUUAAGCUACUUCGCUGGGCCACACAUAGAACAGUUUAACCUUGUGGUGACUUCCUAAAAAGUCACAACUGAAGAUUUGGGUGUCUGGAGCACCCCUGCCCCCAUGAGGUACAUGGAUUACCAUUGGAAGAAAAAAGUAGCCCUGUGUGGGCACACACAGAUUAUGGAGAGAGACUUCAUUGAAGAAGAAAUUCAGCAGACCUUCUGCCUUUCCUGGGACACUGACAACGUCACAGAUGAAGAUGAGAAGCAAUUUUGUCAGGCAGCACACAUGGUACCCUCCAACAACCUUGUGAAGUAGGUCAGGCUAAGAAAAUAUGACUGGCCCAAGGUCAUUGAGAGAACUUCAUGUCUGAGCAUAGAUUUGAACCUGCAUCUCCCUAGUCUAAUUCACAUACUUAUCCACUGCACUAGAUAGGCAUGUCCUUGCCUUUUGCCUUU